UGGGGAAUUUUGGACAAUGGGGGAAACCCUGAUCCAGCCAUCCCGCGUGUGCGAUGAAGGCCUUCGGGUUGUAAGCACUUUUGGCAGGAAAGAAACGUCAUGGGUUAAUACCCCGUGAAACUGACGGUACCUGCAGAAUAAGCACCGGCUAACUACGUGCCAGCAGCCGCGGUAAUACGUAGGGUGCAAGCGUUAAUCGGAAUUACUGGGCGUAAAGCGUGCGCAGGCGGUUCGGAAAGAAAGAUGUGAAAUCCCAGAGCUCAACUUUGGAACUGGAUUUUUAACUACCGGGCUAGAGUGUGUCAGAGGGAGGUGGAAUUCCGCGUGUAGCAGUGAAAUGCGUAGAGAUGCGGAGGAACACCGAUGGCGAAGGCAGCCUCCUGGGAUAACACUGACGCUCAUGAACGAAAGCGUGGGGAGCAAACAGG
rnacentral:rRNA from 1 species